UACGAAGGGGGGCUAGCGUUGCUCGGAAUCACUGGGCGUAAAGCGCACGUAGGCGGCUUUUUAAGUCGGGGGUGAAAGCCUGUGGCUCAACCACAGAAUGGCCUCGAUACUGGGACGCUUGAGUAUGGUAGAGGUUGGUGGAACUGCGAGUGUAGAGGUGAAAUUCGUAGAUAUUCGCAAGAACACCGGUGGCGAAGGCGGCCAACUGGACCAUUACUGACGCUGAGGCGCGAAAGCGUGGGGAGCAAACAGG
rnacentral:rRNA from 1 species